rnacentral:pre_miRNA from 1 species
AAGCCCUUACCCAUCUCUCUGAUAUAUUUGAAUCAGAUAGAAGGGAAGGGGUUGC